UAACGCGAAAAGACCUUACCAAAUCUUGACAUCCUUUGACCGCUCUAGAGAUAGAGUUUUCCCCUUCGGGGGACAAAGUGACAGGUGGUGCAUGGUUGUCGUCAGCUCGUGUCGUGAGAUGUUGGGUUAAGUCCCGCAACGAGCGCAACCCUUAAGCUUAGUUGCCAUCAUUAAGUUGGGCACUCUAGGUUGACUGCCGGUGACAAACCGGAGGAAGGUGGGGAUGACGUCAAAUCAUCAUGCCCCUUAUGAUUUGGGCUACACACGUGCUACAAUGGAUAAUACAAAGGGCAGCGAACCCGCGAGGUCAAGCAAAUCCCAUAAAAUUAUUCUCAGUUCGGAUUGUAGUCUGCAACUCGACUACAUGAAGCUGGAAUCGCUAGUAAUCGUAGAUCAGCAUGCUACGGUGAAUACGUUCCCGGGUCUGAAA
rnacentral:rRNA from 1 species